GUUCUGAGAACCCGUGGAUGCAUCUUCGAGCUAGCGCUGAAACUGCACUAAAAUGGGCCAGAUGAGUAAAAAAAUGCUUAAUUUUACUAUUUUUGUUUCUAAAGAGUAAUGCUCCAUUUUGCUAUAUAGCAUUUCCUGAAGUUUUGUCUUAUAGAAACAGUGUCAAUACAGGCCUUUCUUGGUAGAAUGCAAAAUGGUGUUGUGACUUCCAUAAUAUAAGGUUUUGUUAUAGUACAGCUAUUUAGAAGAACAAUAGGUUUUUUAAAAAUCCUUGGUUGAUCCACACAUGUUGGUGCACACCUUUAAUCCCAUAACUUGGGAAGUAGAGGCCAGUGGAUCUCCCUGAGUUCAAAACCUGCCUAGUCUAUAUAGCAAUUUUCAGGCCAGACAGGAUUAUAGAGACCCUGGGAGAAAAACAAAAAGAAACAAAAACAUUAAAACAUUAACUAAUGCAUACUUUUUCAAAGCCCACUUGGCAUUAUAAUUACAAGAGAUGAGAAUUUCUACAUAGCCUUUUGCCAUUUAUUUUAUCAUAAAAAUUCUUCUUUAUAAUUCAUUAUAUUGGACUAGGAUUCUGGCAGAAUGUAAAAUUGCUACUACAAGCAUAGAAUCUUACCAUGCAAUUUUCUAUAUGUUCCUUAAUGGCAGAGGGACCAAAAAAGGAUCAAAGAGGUAAAUUAAGAUUGUGAAUUCUAACCCAUAUGGGAGCCCAGUUACCUAUUGUGGUGGGAUUAUUUGUUCUCCAUAAAUAACCAUAAAUUCUUAAUACUGAAUAUAAGCCAAAAGUUUCCUGACAGGAAAUGGCUCUAGAAUUAUCUGUUGCUACUUUGAAAAUACAUUUAUUUAUUCUUUGUAGGGUUUGUCUAUGUAGGCAAUGUAUUCUGAUCACCCUACCCACUCCCACAGAACUUCUUUUCCCAAUAAGUCUCCCUCCUGCCCUUUGCCCAUGGUCCUGGGUGGGCUAAUGAAGAAAAGGCUCAGUGUCUCACUCUUUGGAAAUUUAAAAGAAUGAACAAAAUUGUUUCCCAAGCACUCUCAACAAAUCACUGUGCAUCCCCAGAUGGCUCAGAAGGGAUGCACCUUCUAACCUACUCCAGCUCUGUACCCCAUUGCCUGUUCCCUUCUGGCUAAGGCUCCGGAUGCAUUUCUCUGCUGCCUUUGGCUUUCUCAAGAAUAAACUAGGUCAUUUAGGACUUCUGAUCCUUUCUUGAGGAUGACCCUAGAAAUCCCCACUCGCUUUGCCAGGAAAUAAUUUGUGGAGGUGGCUAUUUGGACAGGAUGGGAAUGGAGAUUAAGAAUGGUGUCUUCAAACAAACAAACAAAAAUUACAAAACAGUUUUGUAUGAAGAACUUUACAGUCUGGAACCACAGAGCUCUUACCUGUCUAGUCUGCUGCAAAAACUCAUUUCAUCUGUAUUUAUGAAUAUACUCACAUUUCUCACUUUCCUAAAUAUUGAUGAAUAUUAUAAUUUUCUUGAUCAAGAUUCCAUUAAAAAUCUUAACUGGAAAGCUGUGCCACAGAAAGUUGAAUAAUUAUAGUUAAUAUAUUUUACAUUUUGAUUCUCCAAGGAAUUUGCCUUCAGGAUUGGUUCUUCUUCUUUGUAAUACUCAUAAGUAUGUAAAUUGUGACUGUGUAGUAGCUGACAGGAAGAAAUUGCCUAACCCAGCAAACAAAUCCGCACAUGAUAAGCCAGUAGCUAUUUUGUUUCUUAAGGGUUUAAAAAACACAUCACAAUAUUCAUUUAUUUAACAGCUGUUUACAAUGGUUUGCCUUUUUGUAGGUUACUUUCUAGCCAAGGACUUUCUAGCCAAAUAAGUACUCAAUAAAUAAAAAAACAAAAUCAAACAAGAACAGGUUAGUUAGGUGCUGAACAGAAAACUCAUAUAAAAGACAUAAAGAUUACGUGUGUGCCACCACGUCCGGCCUUCCUUUUUACUUUUAAACAAGGUCUCAUAUAGCCCAGGAUGUCCAAAUGCACUUAACUAAACUAUAAAAGGAUGACGGUUCAGUUACAGUUCUAUUGCAAUGAAGAGACUCUGUGACGAAGGCAACUCAUAUAAGAAAGCGUUUCAUUGGGGGUCCAUUUACAAUUUCAAGGGUCACUCCAUUACUGUUAUGGCAGGGAACACAGGAACAGGCAGGCAGGCAUGGUGCUGGAGAAGUAGCUGAAGCUUAUAUUAUAUCUACAAGUUGGAGGCAGAAAGGGGCUGGGCAGCGGUGAGCAUUUAAACCUCAAAGCCCCUCCCAGUGACACUCCUCUUCCAGAAGGCCACACCUUCUAAUCCUUCCUUAAAAAUCCAUCACCUAGAAACAAAGCAUUGAAAUAUAUGAGCUUAUGGGGGCCUUUCUUAUCCAUACCACCACAAUGAUCUUGAACUUCAGAAUGCUGUGUGGGGUAGUGGAUUCUGAGAGGAAGUCUGGUCCUCUGUGUAGCUAAAGCUUGAAGCCCCAGACACCAUGAAGGGACCAUAGGAGGGUUGCUUGCUCCCAGUAUCAGGCCUCUGUCUCAUAGCCACAGCCCCCCAUAGAUUUGGGGCCAACAGUCAAGGGCAACACCCAAGCCUUUCCAUAUGUAGAUGAGGCAUCUCUUACAUCUCAGACCAAAACAAUAGGGAAAGAGAAGUGACCUGUUAUCAUGAAGGCUCAAGACAGAGGUCUCCAUGCUAAUGAGGUACCCAGAGGUCCAGAGGUGGUUGCCAAUAACAUUCCUCCCUGCCAAAGCUAUGUAAAUUAAGGCCCACCCUGAGAAGAUUUAAACACCCACUUUCCACCAUGACAAUAAGUGCUUCAGAACCAAGAACUGCCUCUUAGUAUGGGGGAGACAUGCCUACAGAGCUUCAGCCUAGUCUCUCCUGGAAGGCCUCUCUGCCUUCCCAGCCGCUAUCACCACCAAGCCUGCCACUUGGCAACCCAAAGACUCUCCCCGUGGGACCAGCGGGAGCUCUACUUUCCACCUCCCCCAACACCAGGCUAGACCCAGCUGGUGGGCCCCACUCUGUUCUCAGUUCUUCUGCGACUAUAAAUGGCUCACAGUUGUCCAAGAGCCUAAGAACCCCACGACCCUGACCCAGGCCCAGGGACCCCCCGAGCCAGCUCCCACUUUUUCAUAACUCAGACUGAGCUUUCCCACCCCGGAGCGGUGCAUCUGGGCUACCCCUACAGCUCAGCAACCCUCUUGGUGGCGUCAUGGGAUGUGUGCAGUUAAAGUCUGCAUUCUGCAAUUCUGCCAAGUGGCCGUAAACUGUGGCGAAGAGGACAAGGGACACCCCGCCCCCCGCUUGCCCCAACCCUACAAUCCUGCCUCUACUUCUAAAGUGCUGCGAUUACAGAUGUGUGCCACCAUACCUAGUUUAGAAUUAAUUAUGUUUAAUAGCAUUCCUCAUAAUAACAAAAGUGACAUAAAGUAGAGAAGUUUCUAGCGCUAUAAAAAACCUUGUUUACUGGAACAGAGUGUCUCAGUCAAAACCUUAGCAAAAAUCAAAUAAAAUGGAGAGCAAAUUUUAUCUAUAUCAUUUUUAUUUCCUCAUAACACAGAACAUUGCCUUUCUAACACAGCUUUGAGUAUUUCAAAGUGCACGAGCUUUAAGCAAUCUCCAGGAAACAAACAGGGGCUGAAAUUGUGAAUGAUUUGUUUGUACCAUUUGGGGAAAGGAAAAAAAAAUGUAAUUAUCAGAUAAAUUUUUGUGUCUCCAUAGGGAUAUGGAAGCUAAAUGGUUUAUGGUUCACAUCUUGGUUUUGUUUGGUUUUCUUGUUUGUUCGUUUGUUUGUUUUUGUAAAACUCUCCAGUUUGACAAGAGUAAGAAUCCUGGUUUUGGAAAAGAUAUGCCCUUCUUAUUCAUAUUACCGGCUGGACAUCUGAAUGAUGUUGAUUCAUUGACUGGCAUCAUGAUGUUCUAGGAAGUUACAGAGUUUAAACUAUACCUACCCAAAUAUUGACUGCACUUCUCUGAUUUAAAAUUUCCUUUCUCUCAAAUUUGUCACAAUCUUGUCACAGUCUCUGUCAAAUGGAAAAUACAACUAUGGGGAACAAUAAAUCUCUAUGUUGAAAUGCA
rnacentral:lncRNA from 1 species